GACGCGGCUUGUUAAAAUGCGUCUCAUAUGUUGGUACAUAGGAGUGCGGGUGAGCUAUGAGAGUUUUCAGCAGACUCAUAGGAGACGCGGGUUAUUAACACGCGUCUCCUAUGACUUAUUGGAGACGCGUUUUGUUCUAACGUCUCCUAUGAUGGUAUCUUCUUUAAUUGUAUCUUACAUAGUGGUACAUGGUAUUUCACUCUCUCUUGCACCUACAUUUUUAACCAAAUAAUUGUCAUUAAAAUAGAUUAAACAGUUAUCCUGUUAUAGUGAGCCAUUGGCUAUCCUCCGGACCUCCACCACCUCGUCGUCUCGCCCAGCCAUCUCCACCACCGUUGAACCAACCAUCCUUUUCCGAGGUAUCAUAUGUAGCAGUCCCAAUUUCCAAACACAUAACACUAAUCCUCAGGCUUUUGGGUACCGAAUUUACAUCACCCUAAGAAUAAACUUAACCAAGCUAGAGAGGUUAGGAAUUGGAAGCUUGUACUUUUUUGUCUGCAUGCAUCCAAGAGCACUUGAA
rnacentral:lncRNA from 1 species